CGCCAUUUUGUAUUAGUUCUUUGAUGUCUGAAUUUCUAUUAGUGCAGUUUGUGAGAAUAAAUAUUUCUUAAUUUCAAGUAAACAAGUAACUAUUGAAAAGCAAAUAACAAAAUGAGUGGAGGUGGGAAUAAUUCUGCACGACCACCACCAAGAAUUGAUGGAAUGAUUUCCCUUAAGGUUGAUAAUUUGACAUAUCGUACUACACCGGAGGAUUUGAGACGUGUAUUCGAGCGAUGUGGUGAGGUUGGAGAUAUCUACAUACCUCGUGAUCGAUAUACUCGUGAAAGUCGUGGUUUCGCAUUUGUUAGAUUUUACGACAAACGUGAUGCAGAGGAUGCAUUAGAGGCUAUGGAUGGCCGAAUGCUUGACGGUAGGGAGUUACGCGUACAGAUGGCUCGUUAUGGUCGUCCUACUUCUGCAACACGAACGAAUAACAGACGUGGUGGCGGUGGCGGUAGACGCCGUUCUCGUUCACCUGCACGCAGGCGAUCUCGUAGUCCACGACGACGAUCAUAUUCGCCACGUUCAAGAUCACGUUCAGCAGGUAGUCGUUCACCUGCUCGUCGAAGCAAAUUUUCACGAAGUCCAGUUAGACGAAAGUCACUAAGCCGUAGUCAAAGUCGCAAUGGUGUAGCUGGACGUAGUGUUUCACGUAGUCGCAGCCGCUCUUAAAGGAUUUCUAACAUAGUCAUUGAUUUAAUAAAAGAGAAUUGCCCAACAUCGUGACCAGUAUGCAUUAAAUACUUUCAUGUGUUGAUUAGCGGCGACUUCAUAUAAAAGCGCAGUCUGCGUUUAAUGCUGCUAGAUCAACAGGCAAACAAAGAUUGCUGUAAGGGCAAGGGCUGCUGUAAAGUGCGAAAAGUGAUUGAGGCAGAUAUUAUAAUGAAAUAUGUAAAAAAAAAUGUUUGGGGAGAUAUAAUGUGCAAGGAGCAGGAGGCAGAGAUUCGUAAAUUCAUUGAUGGCUGCAACGUAGCGAAUUUUAGGAAAACGUACUCCUGUUACUCUUGUUGCUGCUACAGCCGCUGUUUGCUGUUGUUCCAGCGUAAUAUUUGUACACCACUUGAGCCGCUGCACUUAACUAUGCCUAACACUUCGAUUUUAUUUCUCGAGCCUCUGAGAAAACUAAUCCAAGUGUUAAGCUGUUAUUAAUUUAAUAUUCGUGUUCGCAUCCUAUAAAUGAAAAUGUUGCUGUUAAUUAACGUUGAAGUUGCAGCGUCAAUUCCGUUUUAUUAAACGAAUUUCGUAAACAGAAUGUCCGGACCAAGUACAUCUAAAGCAUACUUGAUGUGUAACGGAACCAGUCAUGUAUAUACUUUGACGGUUUGAUUGUGUACGCGUGUACGCGCAGCAGUUGGAGCGGUGUACGGAUAGAAUAUAUUAAAUACCUGCGAUUUAGACCCAAGUUCAGCGAAAUCUCAAAUAUGGUGCAUAUGUUUGAAGGCAGUGCAGUAUAUGUAGAGCGGAAGUUUGGCAGGUAAUGCUGUAGCGAAAAUUACUCUUGCAACUACCUGUAACUGGUGGCUGUUUGUUGCUGCUAUUCGCUGUUAUUCACUUCAGUACGCUUCUUCGUACGAUAUUCGACUUCAUUUGGGUGGUAGUUAGUUGGUGGUCCGGCGUUUCGAGUUCUGAAUUGUUGCUGUCCCUACGAAAGAUUUUGUUUCUCCAAGUUUGCAGCACAGGUAAACCAGUUAAUGUUUGGCAAAUUGCUGAUGUCCAACAUGCAUUUCGCGGGAUGUGAUGCUAAGUACAUUUGAAAAAGAAUCUGGCGAUGAUGCUACAGGUAGGUAAUUGCGAUUAUCUAUACUAAUUAGAUUUUUUUACAGACCAACAUCUAGAUAUUUUAUAAAUUUUAAUAAAUAAACAUGCAAAGCAUGAUAUAAAGA